rnacentral:lncRNA from 1 species
GUCAAAAAAAUCAUUGCUUCUUUUCCCCCUUCUGCUCUGCAUUAAGUUGUUGCAACAGUAAGGAACAGUCACAAUGGCAGCAUGAAAAAAUACGGGAAUGUUGUAUGCUAGCUCUUUCUUAAAGUCAAACGUCGUUCUGCUUCUCCCUUAAUUGCAAGGGAUGAAAUGUGUCGAGUGUCUGCUUCACUCGGCUGGGAAUCGCCGUCCUGCCACUGCAAUUUCCCAGCCUUCAAAGAUGACAUGCAGCUAGCAAACUAUAAAGCCAAGCAACUGCGCUGUGACUCUGAACUUCCUUCAAAAGGCAUUUGCUUCUACUGCUGGAGCAGCGUUAGUACUUCAAGCAGGACGUGGAGUAGAUUCAAAGGAAAGAUACACAUCAUGCCACAUUAUUCUGCAAGUACGGCUGGGAAUGCAAGGCUGAUUCUAUAGCUGGAUGCACACUGCUGCAGUGAAGAAUCGGGAUGCCAACACCUCCAUAUCACCAAAAUUAAACAGGUCAGUGCAGUUGACUCUAUCAAGGUCAAGUAGUGCCUUGAAUUGUAAGUGUCUGGGGCAAGGUACCACACGUGAACCCUAAUAUUUGGUCACUCCAGUGCUGCAAAACCUUCUUGGUAUAUGGAAAAAUAUGCACCACCCUGUCAACUCACUACAGCAGUUGCCAGCUGCAGAGAUUAAUUGUUAACCUCCUCUUCAUUUUCUAUGGCUAAGUCAGACAGGUAAACACCCCAUGCAUGGGCCUCAGCAGGGCAAACUGUUGUUAGACCAGCAGAGGAGAUUGAUAGUUCCUGAGGGUCUAUCCUUUCAUUUCCCCAGGGUACCCUUCCUCAGAGAGGAUUUUCCUGCUUGAGUAGGAAUUCCUUUCUGACUGCUGGCAAGGAACCCACCUGGAGUUCCUGCAAUGCCUAUUUGCAGCAAAGGUGCUACAAAACUGCAGAUA